CCUACGGGAUGCAGCAGUGAGGAAUAUUGGUCAAUGGACGCAAGUCUGAACCAGCCAUGCCGCGUGCAGGAAGACGGCUCUAUGAGUUGUAAACUGCUUUUGUACGAGGGUAAACGCAGAUACGCGUAUCUGUCUGAAAGUAUCGUACGAAUAAGGAUCGGCUAACUCCGUGCCAGCAGCCGCGGUAAUACGGAGGAUUCAAGCGUUAUCCGGAUUUAUUGGGUUUAAAGGGUGCGUAGGCGGUCGGAUAAGUUAGAGGUGAAAUCCCGAGGCUCAACUUCGGAAUUGCCUCUGAUACUGUUCGGCUAGAGAGUAGUUGCGGUAGGCGGAAUGUAUGGUGUAGCGGUGAAAUGCUUAGAGAUCAUACAGAACACCGAUUGCGAAGGCAGCUUACCAAGCUACUUCUGACGUUGAGGCACGAAAGCGUGGGGAGCGAACAGGAUUAGAUACCCCAGUAGU
rnacentral:rRNA from 1 species